GAUGAACGCUGGCGGCGUGCCUAAUACAUGCAAGUCGAGCGAACAGACGAGGAGCUUGCUCCUCUGACGUUAGCGGCGGACGGGUGAGUAACACGUGGAUAACCUACCUAUAAGACUGGGAUAACUUCGGGAAACCGGAGCUAAUACCGGAUAAUAUAUUGAACCGCAUGGUUCAAUAGUGAAAGACGGUUUUGCUGUCACUUAUAGAUGGAUCCGCGCCGCAUUAGCUAGUUGGUAAGGUAACGGCCUACCAAGGCAACGAUGCGUAGCCGACCUGAGAGGGUGGUCGGCCACACUGGAACUGAGACGCGGUCCAGACGCCUACGGGAGGCAGCAGUAGGGAAUCUUCCGCAAUGGGCGAAAGCCUGACGGAGCAACGCCGCGUGAGUGAUGAAGGUCUUCGGAUCGUAAAACUCUGUUAUUAGGGAAGAACAAAUGUGUAAGUAACUAUGCACGUCUUGACGGUACCUAAUCAGAAAGCCACGGCUAACUACGUG
rnacentral:rRNA from 1 species